AUAUUUAUCGACCACGACCCUGUUGGAGAGACCUGAAGAUGAAGCAGAUGCAGGCUGUCUCUGCUCCUCUGCAGUCAGGACGUGACUUCUUGCACCUGAAUGGACUGAUCGAAUGUAAUUCCAUUAGAAUAAAGAUUAUUUCUCCAGAUUGUUCAAGUCAACCAAGGACAAAGCAUAUAAGAAUAAAGGCCCUGAUCUUUGAAGAGAAAGCUGGAAAAAGGCUGGAGAAACAAAUCUGAAGUUUCCUGAAUUUUACUCAGAAAGAUGACUGCUUAAAUAUUCCUUAUGAAAAAAGACUCUUCUGUAGACACAUGGAAGCGAUAGAUAACAGAACAAAUGUCUGGUGGUCUUAC